rnacentral:rRNA from 1 species
UGGGGAAUAUUGGACAAUGGGCGCAAGCCUGAUCCAGCAAUGCCGCGUGUGUGAAGAAGGUCUUCGGAUUGUAAAGCACUUUCGACGGGGACGAUGAUGACGGUACCCGUAGAAGAAGCCCCGGCUAACUUCGUGCCAGCAGCCGCGGUAAUACGAAGGGGGCUAGCGUUGCUCGGAAUGACUGGGCGUAAAGGGCGCGUAGGCGGAUUGCGCAGUCAGGUGUGAAAUUCCUGGGCUUAACCUGGGGGCUGCGUUUGAGGCGCGUAGUCUAGAGUGUGAAAGAGGGUCGUGGAAUUCCCAGUGUAGAGGUGAAAUUCGUAGAUAUUGGGAAGAACACCGGUGGCGAAGGCGGCGACCUGGUUCAUGACUGACGCUGAGGCGCGAAAGCGUGGGGAGCAAGCA